AUCCCAACAUGUUAGUCACUUUGUGUAUGUGACUCGUUUUUCAUUUUGUGUAUGUGACUCGUUAGUCACUUUGUGUAUGUGACUCGUUAGUCACUUUGUGUAUGUGACUCGUUAGUCACUUUGUGUAUGUGACUCGUUAAUCACUCGUUCUGCAUCUGUAUGCUUGUGUUUAUUCUCUUUGUGGAUGUGAAUUUGUUUAUAUUGGGGAAAACUGGACAGAUAUCGUGAAUGUUAUCACCUUUGUCAGCACCACUUGUAUGAUAAUAGAGACAGAUUUUGCCCACUAUUUGUUGUCCUUGUCGUUGAUUGCCACAUACACAGCAGAAAUCUGACUUUAUAAUCAUUCCAUAUUGUUACCUUCCCAACCAUACCCCUAAACACCAUUUGGGAUCGUAACAACAAUAAUCAACAAACUCUAAAGCCUUUGAAAUUAUUCAGAAGUCCAUCAUAAAUCUGGUCAGGGAGGCUGUCAAGAUGCCCAAUAUAAGAUUCUUCAUAUGUCUGAACUACAGGUUAGAGUGAUAAGAUGGAAAUCAGUUUUAUUUAAAAAAAAAUGUCCAAGGCUGGCUAAAGAUAUCAACAAAAUAUAUCCAAUCUCCCAAAACUAUGUGGAAUAAUGUUUUAUGGUCUGAUGAGACUAAAGUUAAACCUUUUGGCCAUAAAAGCAAAGGAAAUGUUCGGCACAAAGAAACCACAUCAACAGAAGAUCUCCAUCCCCACAGUGAAGCAUGGAGGUGGCAGCAUCAUUGUUUGGGGCUGCUUUUCUUCAGCUGGAACUGGGGCUUUAAUCAGACUGGAGGUAAUAAUGAAUAGCUCCAAAUACCAGUCAGAUUUGGUGCAAAACCUUAGGGCUUCUGCUAAAACACCUAAGAUGAAGAGGAAUUUCACCUUUCAGCAGGACAAUGACCUGAAGCACACCCACAAAUCAACAAAGGAAUGACUUCACCAAAACAAGUCCAGAUCCAAAUCCAAUCAAAAAUCUGUGGGGUGACCUGAAGAGGGCUGUGCACAGGAGAUCUAAAAUCUAAAGGUGCUUCAAAUAAGUAUAAAUUUAGGGGUGUGUCAGCUUAUACAACAAGGUUAUUGUACAUUUUUAUUUUUUUUACCCUAAACUAACUUUAAUAAACAAGUUGCAAUUUCACUAUAAAAA